CUAACAGUCUGGUAGACAACAGUCAUUAUCUAGGAGAUGUAAGUUAGAACAAACGGUGGUUGAACUCCAAUAGACAAUUAAUGAAAAGGCUGUAAUCUGGAUAUAUGAUUUGUCUGUGGUGGUGGGAGAGGUGCCCGAGGGAGAGCGUCAGAAACAGGGAAGACAGAAAGGAGAGGUGCCCGAGGGAGAGCGUCAGAAACAGGGAAGACAGAAAGGAGAGAUGCCCGAGGGAGAGCGUCAGAAACAGGGAAGACAGAAAGGAGAGGUGCCCGAGGGAGAGCGUCAGAAACAGGGAAGACAGAAAGGAGAGAUGCCCGAGGGAGAGCGUCAGAAACAGGGAAGACAGAAAGGAGAGGUGCCCGAGGGAGAGCGUCAGAAACAGGGAAGACAGAAAGGAGAGGUGCCCGAGGGAGAGCGUCAGAAACAGGGAAGACAGAAAGGAGAGGUGCCCGAGGGAGAGCGUCAGAAACAGGGAAGACAGAAAGGAGAGGUGCCCGAGGGAGAGCGUCAGAAACAGGGAAGACAGAAAGGAGAGGUGCCCGAGGGAGAGCGUCAGAAACAGGGAAGACAGAAAGGAGAGAUGCCCGAGGGAGAGCGUCAGAAACAGGGAAGACAGAAAGGAGAGGUGCCCGAGGGAGAGCGUCAGAAACAGGGAAGACAGAAAGGAGAGGUGCCCGAGGGAGAGCGUCAGAAACAGGGAAGACAGAAAGGAGAGGUGCCCGAGGGAGAGCGUCAGAAACAGGGAAGACAGAAAGGAGAGGUGCCCGAGGGAGAGCGUCAGAAACAGGGAAGACAGAAAGGAGAGAUGCCCGAGGGAGAGCGUCAGAAACAGGGAAGACAGAAAGGAGAGGUGCCCGAGGGAGAGCGUCAGAAACAGGGAAGACAGAAAGGAGAGGUGCCCGAGGGAGAGUGUUGAAC